rnacentral:rRNA from 1 species
CGGCGGCCGUAACUAUAACGGUCCUAAGGUAGCGAAAUUCCUUGUCGGGUAAGUUCCGACCCGCACGAAAGGCGUAACGAUUUGGGCACUGUCUCAACAAUAGACUCGGUGAAAUUGUAAUCCCGGUGAAGAUGCCGGGUACCUGCGACAGGACGGAAAGACCCCAUGGAGCUUUACUGUAGCUUGACGUUGGGUCUUGGUACUACAUGUACAGGAUAGGUGGGAGACUAUGAAGCAUGGACGCCAGUCUGUGUGGAGUCAUCCUUGGGAUACCACCCUUGUAGUACUGGGAUCCUAACCAUAGGCCUUGAAUCAGGUCUUGGAACACCGUCAGGUGGGCAGUUUGACUGGGGCGGUCGCCUCCUAAAAAGUAACGGAGGCGCUCAAAGGUUUCCUCAGCACGGUCGGAAAUCGUGCGAAGAGUGUAAAGGCAAAAGGAAGCUUGAUUGCAAGACAUACAGGUCGAGCAAGGACGAAAGUCGGACUUAGUGAUCCGGUGGUACCGCAUGGAAGGGCCAUCGCUCAACGGAUAAAAGCUACCCUGGGGAUAACAGGCUUAUCUCCCCCAAGAGUCCACAUCGACGGGGAGGUUUGGCACCUCGAUGUCGGCUCAUCACAUCCUGGGGCUGUAGUAGGUCCCAAGGGUUGGGCUGUUCGCCCAUUAAAGUGGUACGCGAGCUGGGUUCAGAACGUCGUGAGACAGUUCGGUCCCUAUCCGUCGCAGGCGUAGGAAAUUUGAGAAGACCUGUCCUUAGUACGAGAGGACCGGGAUGGACGUACCUCUGGUGUACCAGUUGUUCUGCCAAGGGCAUAGCUGGGUAGCUAUGUACGGAAUGGAUAAGCGCUGAAAGCAUCUAAGCGCGAAGCCAACUUCAAGAUAAGAUUUCCCACCGUAAGGGUAAGACCCCAGGAAGACUACCUGGUUGAUAGGUCGAAGGUGUAAGUGCAGUAAUGUAUUUAGCUUAUCGAUACUAAUAGGUCGAGGACUUGACCAA